AUGCCAAAGCCAACAUCCACAAGGUUCACACCACCAAGGUUCACACACACACAUAGUCCAGGAACAAACAAGCAUCAAGGGUUAGUGCUGAGGGCACAGCUCAACAAGCCCAACACACACACAAACCCCUACGUCCUCACCUCCCUCCUCAACCUCUACGCGAAAUGCGACCUCCUGGACCAUGCGCGGAGCGUGUUCGACGAAAUGCGCUGCCCCAACACGGUCUCCUGGACCGCGCUCAUCACCGCGUACAUGAACGCGGGGCGCGUCAGGGAGGCCGUCGCCGUCGCCAGGGACGCGUUCGCGAGCGGGAUGCGCCCGGACAGCUUCACCGCCGUGCGGGUCCUGACGGCAUGCGCCCGGGUCGCGGAUUUGGGCACUGGGGAGGUGGUGUGGAGGGCGGCACAGGAGGAGGGGGUUGCGGGCAGCGUGUUUGUGGCAACUGCGGCGGUAGAUAUGUACGUCAAGUGCGGCGAGAUGUCAAGGGCAAGGGAGGUGUUCGACAAAAUGCCGGAGAAGGAUGCUGUAGCUUGGGGUGCUAUGGUCGGGGGAUAUGCUUCGAACGGGCACCCCCAAGAGACUCUGGAGCUCUUCUUUGCAAUGCAGACUCAGGGAGUGAAGCCAGAUUGCUACACGGUGGUUGGGUCGCUCUCAGCUUGCACACGGCUGGGUGCACUUGAUAUGGGACGGCAGGCAGUCAGGACGAUGGACUGGGAUGAGUUUCUUGACAACCCAGUUCUAGGGACUGCGCUAAUUGAUAUGUAUGCCAAGUGUGGGAGCACAGGCGAGGCUGUUGUGUUCCAGCAGAUGAGGAAGAGGGACAUUGUUGUUUGGAAUGCGAUGAUCUUGGGGCUGGGCCUGACUGGGCAUGGUAAGAUUGGAUUUGCCCUUGUCGGCCAGAUGGAGAAGUCAGGCACGAAACUGAAUGACAAUACUUUCAUCAGCAUUCUCUGCAACUGUACUCAUACCGGCCUUGUAAAAGAUGGACGGCGGUACUUCCAUAACAUGACUCAGUUAUACAACAUCACACCUAGGAUUGAGCACUAUGGUUGUAUGGUCGACCUGCUCAGUCGCGCUGGGUUGCUCCAGGAAGCCCAUCAGCUUAUUGAUGAUAUGCCAAUGCAGGCAAACGCUGUCGUGUGGGGAGCACUUCUUGGUGGCUGCAAGAUUCACCGAGACGCAGAGCUUGCAGAACAUGUCUUGAAGCAGCUCAUCCUGCUUGAGCCCCGGAAUUCAGGGAAUUAUGUCAUGCUCUCGAACAUAUACUCUAACAGCAACAGAUGGGAGGAUGCUGCAAAGCUUAGAUCGGACAUGAAGGUGAACGGGGUUGAAAAGGUCCGUGCAUAUAGCUGGGUUGAGUUUAGUGGUAAGGUCCACGAGUUCCGUGUUGGAGACAAGUCGCAUCCCCACAUGGAUCAGAUUUACCAAAAGCUAGAUGAAUUAGGCAUGGAAAUGAAAACUAUGGGUUACAAACCAACUACAGAUGUGGUGAUGUUCGACGUUGAAGAUGAGGAGAAGGAGCACACUCUAGUUUAUCACAGCGAGAAACUUGCCAUUGCAUUUUGCCUUCUCACUACCCAACCAGGGGAGGUCAUUAGGGUCACCAAGAACCUUAGGGUAUGCACCGACUGUCACACUGUUAUCAAACUAAUAUCAAGGAUAACUCAUCGGGAGAUCAUUGUUCGGGAUAACAAUCGGUUUCAUUGUUUCAAAGAUGGUUGUUGCUCUUGUAAUGACUACUGG
rnacentral:rRNA from 1 species